UUAAAAAAAGCACUACGAUCUGCGUGUCAAAAUGGCGCCGUCUUUGAUCAAAUACAAAAGAAUGUUGAGGAAAUGUCCUGUCUUUUCGUCGAAGUGUCCAGAUAUAUUCAUUUUACUCUCAUGAAACGUUGGGAACAAGGAAACUUUGACGCGAUGAAUUUUCUUGACUGUUAUUACCAUUUGAUGGUAAAGAAAAAAGCAACGUAUAUAAUCGACGAAGAGUACAGUAUCCUCCGUAAAAACCUGAAGUUAUACGAUAGUUCAUACCGUUCUAAUUUAUUCGUGGAAAACUCGAAAAAAUUUCUCACUAUUUUCCACAAUAAUAUUGCAUGCACGCAUGUAGUCGGCUGAGAAACUAUUUCAAGUUUGAGGAUGUCAAAAAAAUGUGUAUAUAUAGCACACUCCGCUACCUUUUCUAGAAAAAUU